rnacentral:rRNA from 1 species
CCUACGGGAGGCAGCAGUGGGGAAUAUUGGGCAAUGGAGGAAACUCUGACCCAGCGACGCCGCGUGCGGGAUGAAGGCCUUCGGGUUGUAAACCGCUUUCAGCAGGGAAGAAGCGAAAGUGACGGUACCUGCAGAAGAAGCACCGGCUAACUAUGUGCCAGCAGCCGCGGUAAUACAUAGGGUGCAAGCGUUGUCCGGAAUUAUUGGGCGUAAAGAGCUCGUAGGUGGUUCGUCACGUCGGAUGUGAAAAUCUGGGGCUUAACCCCAGACCUGCAUUCGAUACGGGCGAGCUUGAGUAUGGUAGGGGAGUCUGGAAUUCCUGGUGUAGCGGUGGAAUGCGCAGAUAUCAGGAGGAACACCAAUGGCGAAGGCAGGACUCUGGGCCAUUACUGACACUGAGGAGCGAAAGCGUGGGGAGCGAGCAGGAUUAGAUACCCUGGUAGUCCACGCCGUAAACGGUGGGCACUAGUUGUGGGGACUUCCACGGUCUCUGCGACGCAGCUAACGCAUUAAGUGCCCCGCCUCGGGGAGUACGAAUCGCAAGAUUAAAACUACAAAUAGAAAUUGACGG